AAGGUCGUGGGGAGGCUGGGGCAGUUAGAGGAAAAGUGGGCCGACGGAAGUGUUGAGAAGUGCAGCGGGGAGAUCAAACCGAACGCUACCGUUUUGGUUCUAUUUAACUUCAGUGGAAGCUGCAAUGGUAAUAGAAGAGUGUCAGACCUGUCAGUAGUUUCGCAUCGUAGGGGCAGGGCGGAGUGAAAAGCAACAAAAGGCCUAUGAGAAGGGCUGUGUGUGUGCGGUUCCUCGUUAGUAUAGUGCAAGAGUUUUAGGAAGACCUGUGAAAUGAGAAGCAACCAACACAUGGGAAAUGGGAAGCAGAUCGCAACAGGCCCCUAAAGAAAGUUUGCAACAUUAGCAAUGAUCCUAUGUUUUUGAAAUUCAGGAAAUUGCAACUGGUGCAUUAACGCUUUCCUUAAAAGGGUUAUACAUCUGGUAUGGGAGAGACCAUUAGUUACUCCCCAAUAUCUGUAUUUCUUUUCGUCCUUAGUAGUAAAACCCUCGAUAUUUAGCUGGACACAUGGCCUCCCAGGAGACUACAUUUCCCAGCCUUUUUUGCAGUUAUGACCAUGUCACUAAGUUCUCGCCAAUAGAAGACUUGAUGGCUGGAGCUCUAACUGCCAUGGUGCAUCAUGAGAUUGGAACCAUGUGCUGAGGGUGGUGGAGUAGCAACGUAGAAGGAACUACGAGCUGGAAAUAGCCAGGUCUCUGGUAAUCAUGGACCUCCCUUGGGGACUGCCUGCUUCUAGCUUUCUUUUCCUGGAGAGAGAAAUAAACUUCCACUUUGUUGAAGACAGUGUCAUUUUGAGUUUUCUAUCAUUCACAGGGAACUCAGUAUUUA